rnacentral:lncRNA from 1 species
GACUAUACCCAAUGUGGCACAGAGUCUUCUGCUGUCUGCUGAUCAAGAUGCAGAAUUCUGAGUUCCUUCUCCAGUGCCAUGCCUGCCUGGGUGCUGCCAUGCUCCCACCUUGAUGAUAAUGGACGGAACCUCUGAACCUGUUGACCUGGAGAACUGGCUAGUCAAAGGUGUUUGGUUCUGGCUGCGCUGCUGUCGGCUGUGCCGCUGUCAGGUGCAAGGCGCCUGCUUUGUCCUCUCUGAGUCUCAUGCAGUGUGGUGGUGUCUCCCAGAACUCUGGGUGUAUGACCAUCCUGAAACCGGAUGAGAUCGUGAAGAACUGGACACUCUCAUAUGCAUGUCCUUGGGGCAUUGCCACACCCUGUGGUCAUCUACAAAGUUCACGAAGGACAACUGCACAAUUGAGUUUCAAAGAAAAUUUAAUUAAUUAUUAAUAAGUCGCAAGAAAUCUCAUGCU